rnacentral:rRNA from 1 species
UACGGAGGGUGCAAGCGUUAUCCGGAUUCACUGGGUUUAAAGGGUGCGUAGGUGGGUUGGUAAGUCAGUGGUGAAAUCUCCGAGCUUAACUUGGAAACUGCCAUUGAUACUAUCAAUCUUGAAUAUUGUGGAGGUCAGCGGAAUAUGUCAUGUAGCGGUGAAAUGCUUAGAUAUGACAUAGAACACCAAUUGCGAAGGCAGCUGGCUACACAUAUAUUGACACUGAGGCACGAAAGCGUGGGGAUCAAACAGG